rnacentral:rRNA from 1 species
CGAUGAGUAGGGCGGGACACGUGGUAUCCUGUCUGAAUAUGGGGGGACCAUCCUCCAAGGCUAAAUACUCCUGACUGACCGAUAGUGAACCAGUACCGUGAGGGAAAGGCGAAAAGAACCCCGGCGAGGGGAGUGAAAAAGAACCUGAAACCGUGUACGUACAAGCAGUGGGAGCACGCUUAGGCGUGUGACUGCGUACCUUUUGUAUAAUGGGUCAGCGACUUAUAUUCUGUAGCAAGGUUAACCGAAUAGGGGAGCCGAAGGGAAACCGAGUCUUAACUGGGCGUUAAGUUGCAGGGUAUAGACCCGAAACCCGGUGAUCUAGCCAUGGGCAGGUUGAAGGUUGGGUAACACUAACUGGAGGACCGAACCGACUAAUGUUGAAAAAUUAGCGGAUGACUUGUGGCUGGGGGUGAAAGGCCAAUCAAACCGGGAGAUAGCUGGUUCUCCCCGAAAGCUAUUUAGGUAGCGCCUCGUGAAUUCAUCUCCGGGGGUAGAGCACUGUUUCGGCAAGGGGGUCAUCCCGACUUACCAACCCGAUGCAAACUGCGAAUACCGGAGAAUGUUAUCACGGGAGACACACGGCGGGUGCUAACGUCCGUCGUGAAGAGGGAAACAACCCAGACCGCCAGCUAAGGUCCCAAAGUCAUGGUUAAGUGGGAAACGAUGUGGGAAGGCCCAGACAGCCAGGAUGUUGGCUUAGAAGCAGCCAUCAUUUAAAGAAAGCGUAAUAGCUCACUGGUCGAGUCGGCCUGCGCGGAAGAUGUAACGGGGCUAAACCAUGCACCGAAGCUGCGGCAGCGACGCUUAUGCGUUGUUGGGUAGGGGAGCGUUCUGUAAGCCUGUGAAGGUGUACUGUGAGGUAUGCUGGAGGUAUCAG